GCAGUCGAGCGGACAGAUGGGAGCUUGCUCCCUGAUGUCAGCGGCGGACGGGUGAGUAACACGUGGGUAACCUGCCUGUAAGACUGGGAUAACUCCGGGAAACCGGGGCUAAUACCGGAUGCUUGAUUGAACCGCAUGGUUCAAUUAUAAAAGGUGGCUUUUAGCUACCACUUACAGAUGGACCCGCGGCGCAUUAGCUAGUUGGUGAGGUAACGGCUCACCAAGGCAACGAUGCGUAGCCAACCUGAGAGGGUGAUCGGCCACACUGGGACUGAAACACGGCCCAAACUCCUACGGGAGGCAGCAGUAGGGAAUCUUCCGCAAUGGACGAAAGUCUGACGGAGCAACGCCGCGUGAGUGAUGAAGGUUUUCGGAUCGUAAAACUCUGUUGUUAGGGAAGAACAAGUACCGUUCGAAUAGGGCGGUACCUUGACGGUACCUAACCAGAAAGCCACGGCUAACUACGUGCCAGCAGCCGCGGUAAUACGUAGGUGGCAAGCGUUGUCCGGAAUUAUUGGGCGUAAAGCGCGCGCAGGCGGUUUCUUAAGUCUGAUGUGAAAGCCCCCGGCUCAACCGGGGAGGGUCAUUGGAAACUGGGGAACUUGAGUGCAGAAGAGGAGAGUGGAAUUCCACGUGUAGCGGUGAAAUGCGUAGAGAUGUGGAGGAACACCAGUGGCGAAGGCGACUCUCUGGUCUGUAACUGACGCUGAGGCGCGAAAGCGUGGGGAGCGAACAGGAUUAGAUACCCUGGUAGUCCACGCCGUAAACGAUGAGUGCUAAGUGUUAGAGGGUUUCCGCCCUUUAGUGCUGCAGCAAACGCAUUAAGCACUCCGCCUGGGGAGUACGGUCGCAAGACUGAAACUCAAAGGAAUUGACGGGGGCCCGCACAAGCGGUGGAGCAUGUGGUUUAAUUCGAAGCAACGCGAAGAACCUUACCAGGUCUUGACAUCCUCUGACAACCCUAGAGAUAGGGCUUCCCCUUCGGGGGCAGAGUGACAGGUGGUGCAUGGUUGUCGUCAGCUCGUGUCGUGAGAUGUUGGGUUAAGUCCCGCAACGAGCGCAACCCUUGAUCUUAGUUGCCAGCAUUCAGUUGGGCACUCUAAGGUGACUGCCGGUGACAAACCGGAGGAAGGUGGGGAUGACGUCAAAUCAUCAUGCCCCUUAUGACCUGGGCUACACACGUGCUACAAUGGGCAGAACAAAGGGCAGCGAAGCCGCGAGGCUAAGCCAAUCCCACA
rnacentral:rRNA from 1 species